UACGUAGGGGGCAAGCGUUGUCCGGAAUCAUUGGGCGUAAAGAGCGCGUAGGCGGCCUGGUAAGUCCGCUGUGAAAGUCCAGGGCUCAACCCUGGAAUGCCGGUGGAAACUGUCAGACUCGAGUCCGGAAGAGGCGAGUGGAAUUCCUGGUGUAGCGGUGAGAUGCGCAGAUAUCAGGAGGAACACCAAUGGCGAAGGCAGCACUCUGGGACGUGACUGACGCUGAGACGCGAAAGCGUGGGGAGCAAACAGG
rnacentral:rRNA from 1 species